rnacentral:lncRNA from 1 species
GUAUAGGGCACUCAAAAAUGUUUAAUUCUUCAAGGGAGGUGAGGUGUUGGAGGCCUCUGGAUAUCGAUUUAAGAUUCUUCAGAUUAGAGAUCUCAAGAUAAGUUAACGAAGUGGGAAGCAGCAGACCUUCAUCAUCCGGAAAGCGAUCCACAUCUAUUGUAGAUUUGACUGAGAAUCGUUUAAGAGAGGUGAGCAUGCGGAGUCCCCACUCUGACAGUGGCGAGGAAACACACAGCUCACCACUGAUUUGAGAUGCAGCCUUUCAUUUGGCCUCUCCACAGGCUUGUAAAGUACAGUUUGCCCGCAUAAAUGAACAUCAGACACCGAAUUGCAUCCAAGAAUAAUAGAAUGCCUAUAAGUCGCCUUCAUUUGUAUGUUAAAGAUGAUGAAACUGCAUUUUGUACAUCAAACUGAAAUCAGAACUCGAAAUUACUUUCUUAUCUUAAGAUGGUAGAAUUGCAUGACACCUGUGUGAUAAUAGAAAUGCUGGAGAACAGUACCAGGCAAGCCUCCUCGUUUGAUUGAAGACUGAAUGUCGGAACCUAAGCCACCUUAAAAUCUCGGAUGCCUAAUAUUAAGUGAUGGAGACUUGAUACUUGCUCAUGAUCACAACAAAUUACGUUGGAGUUGCAACUUGCAGGGGUUCCAUCCUGGGCAACAGGCCAGCCAAACUUAGUUCCUCAAGUUAAUCCAUUGCUUGCCUAGCAAAGCAAACAAUAAUAAUAAUAAAAAGUUGUUCUCCUUACAGAUGCAUGAGGUUGCAUAGCAUUUUAAGAAGAGGGAGAAAAAUAUGCAGGCAUGUUUAUGCUGUGCAUAUGUGGGCUAGUCCAAUCCAAGCAAGCCUUUUAAAUGAUCCAAUUGUUUAUGUAGAUUUUUUUCUUUCUUUUAAUUUUCCUUGUCGUUACAGGAGUGUAUGGAAAGAAAAAAGGACAAGUAAAAGUCCAUUAAUGCGUGAAGUAUGGUGAGGAAGCAAUAAACCUUGGAUGUGAUUAUGGAGCAGAUAAACCAAGAAAGAAUACCUGUUUCUCUGUUUUUUUUUUUCUCGUUCAAAUCCUGCAGAACAAAAAACUGAAGAAUCAACGGCAUCUUACGAGAUAUGAACUUGGGGAUGUGGGCAAUGAUGGGCCAAUAAUCUCCUCUCUCUUUCAAGCAUCGUUCCUCCAGAAGAGGGCUGCUACGGAUACGUAAACAUCCAAGUGAGUGAGGGAAGCCCUCUGGGGAAGAACUGGAGUAUAGGGCACUCAAAAAAUUUUAAUUCUUCAAGGGAGGUGAGGUGUUGGAGGCCUCUGGAUAUCGAUUUAAGAUUCUCCAGAUUAGAGAUCUCAAGAAAAGUUAACGAAGUGGGAAGCAGCAGACCUUCAUCAUCCGGAAAGCGAUCCACAUCUAUUGUAGAUUCGACUGAGAAUCGUUUAAGAGAGGUGAGCAUGCGGAGUCCCCACUCUGACACUGGCAGUGUAAUUUUGCAACUACUAAUUUCGAGUGAAGUCAGGUUAGGUGGCAAACCCCUCUCCGGUAAGG